rnacentral:rRNA from 1 species
UAUAGAAUUUUAUAUUAACUUUACCUAGCGGUUAAUGCUGGUCUUUUGUUAAUAUUUGGUUGGGAGGAUUAUUAAAUUUAACAAACUUUAUAUCAUUAUAAACUUUGAUUUAAGAAAAUAUAAUGACCUUCAAUUUGAAAUAGUUAGAGUAAAUUACCUUAGGGAUAACAGCGUAAUAUUUUUUUAUAGACCUUAUAGAAAAAAAUGGUUGCGACCUCGAUGUUGAAUUAAGAUAAAUUUUAAAUGCAGGAGUUUAAUAAUUAAGUCUG